rnacentral:rRNA from 1 species
CCUACGGGAGGCAGCAGUGGGGAAUAUUGGACAAUGGGGGGAACCCUGAACCAGCGACGCCGCGUGAGUGAAGAAGUAUUUCGGUAUGUAAAGCUCUAUCAGCAGGGGAGAAAGAAAUGACGGUACCUGACGAAGAAGCCCCGGCUAACUACGUGCCAGCAGCCGCGGUAAUACGUAGGGGGCAGGCGUUAUCCGGAUUUACUGGGUGUAAAGGGAGCGUAGACGGCGAUGCAAGUCUGAAGUGAAAGGCGGGGGCCCAACCCCCGGACUGCGUUGGAAACUGUAUGGCUGGAGUGCAGGAGAGGCAAGUGGAAUUCCUAGUGUAGCGGUGACAUGCGUAGAUAUUAGGAGGAACCCCAGUGGCGAAGGCGGCUUACUGGACUGUUACUGACGUUGAGGCUCGAAAGCGUGGGGAGCAAACAGGAUUAGAUACCCCAGUAGUC